rnacentral:lncRNA from 1 species
AACUGUAGACGGCUAAGCAAUAUAUUUGCUAAGCCACCACACAAACCCUAGCAAAACUAAAAUUAAUAAAAACCCUAAAUAAAAAUAGUAAAAUUCGUCUAAAAUCUGAACAGCCACGUUUUGGCCCAUAAGCUGCUCCAAAACUGGCCCAAUAUAGCUGGAUUUAAUGUUUGGAAUAUUUUGAACACUUUUCCAGAAGGCCACGAACCCAUCCGAGGUCAUCUUGGGCUCCAAAAACGCAAUUUAAGCCCAAAAACGUCAUUUUCCAGCACUGCACACUGCUUCUUUAUUUCAUCGCCAGAAAAUAACCGCUUGGUGAAAAAAUCCCAAAUUUUGAUAC